GUGAGGAAUAUUGCGCAAUGGAGGCAACUCUGACGCAGCCAUGCCGCGUGCAGGAAGAAGGCGCUACGCGUUGUAAACUGCUUUUAACCGGGAAGAAACCCCAGGACGUGUCCUGGGUUGACGGUACCGGAGGAAUAAGCACCGGCUAACUUCGUGCCAGCAGCCGCGGUAAUACGAAGGGUGCAAGCGUUAUCCGGAUUCAUUGGGUUUAAAGGGUUCGUAGGCGGAGCGUUAAGUCAGUGGUGAAAUCCUGCAGCUUAACUGUAGACUUGCCAUUGAUACUGGCGCUCUUGAGUGCGCUUGAAGUGGGCGGAAUGUGCCGUGUAGCGGUGAAAUGCUUAGAUAUGGCACAGAACACCAAUUGCGAAGGCAGCUCACUAAGGCGAUACUGACGCUGAGGCACGAAAGCGUGGGGAUCGAACAGGAUUAGAAACCCCAGUAGUCC
rnacentral:rRNA from 1 species